GAUGAAAUUAGGAAAACAGCAUCAUCAUCUGAUAUGACUGCAACUGCAGUGACAUCUGGUACUACUACAAUUGCCUCACCAUCUGAUACUACUACAACUGCAUUGACAUCUGGUAGUACUACUACAAUUGCGCUGACAUCUGGA